AUUGAACGCUGGCGGCAGGCCUAACACAUGCAAGUCGAGCGAGUGGCGGACGGGUGAGUAAUGUCUGGGAAACUGCCUGCUGGAGGGGGAUAACUACUGGAAACGGUCGCUAAUACCGCAUACCAUCAGAUGUGCCCAGAUGGGAUUAGCUAGUAGGUGGGGUAAUGGCUCACCUAGGCGACGAUCCCUCGCUGGUCUGAGAGGAUGACCAGCCACACUGGAACUGAGAAACAGUCCAGACUCCUACGGGAGGCAGCAGGGGGGAAUAUUGCACAAUGGGCGCAAGCCUGAUGCAGCCAUGCCGCGUGUGUGAAGAAGGCCUUCGGGUUGUAAAGUACUUUCAGCGGGGAGGCGUUACUCGCAGAAGAAGCACCGGCUAACUCCGUGCCAGCAGCCGCGGUAAUAC
rnacentral:rRNA from 1 species